UACGUAGGGUGCAAGCGUUGUUCGGAAUUACUGGGCGUAAAGGGCUCGUAGGCGGCCAACUAAGUCAGACGUGAAAUCCCUCGGCUUAACCGGGGAACUGCGUCUGAUACUGGAUGGCUUGAGUUCGGGAGAGGGAUGCGGAAUUCCAGGUGUAGCGGUGAAAUGCGUAGAUAUCUGGAGGAACACCGGUGGCGAAGGCGGCAUCCUGGACCGAUACUGACGCUGAGGAGCGAAAGCUAGGGGAGCAAACGGG
rnacentral:rRNA from 1 species